GAGAKGGRUUGGUGCCUUCSGGAACUCURACACAGGUGCUGCAUGGCUGUCGUCARCUCGUGUCGUGAGAUGUUGGGUUAAGUCCCGUAACGAGCGCAACCCUUGUCCUUAGUUACCAGCACRUUAUGGUGGGCACUCUAAGGAGACUGCCGGUGACAAACCGGAGGAAGGUGGGGAUGACGUCMAGUCAUCAUGGCCCUUACGGCCUGGGCUACACACGUGCUACAAUGGUCGGUACAGAGGGUUGCCAAGCCGCGAGGUGGAGCUAAUCUCACAAAACCGAUCGUAGUCCGGAUCGCAGUCUGCAACUCGACUGCGUGAAGUCGGAAUCGCUAGUAAUCGCGAAUCAGAAUGUCSCGGUGAA
rnacentral:rRNA from 1 species